AGCGUAGACGGCAUCACAAGUCAGAAGUGAAAAUCCGGGGCUCAACCCCGAAACUGCUUUUGAAACUGUGGAGCUGGAGUGCAGGAGAGGUAAGCGGAAUUCCUAGUGUAGCGGUGAAAUGCGUAGAUAUUAGGAGGAACACCAGUGGCGAAGGCGGCUUACUGGACUGUAACUGACGUUGAGGCUCGAAAGCGUGGGGAGCAAACA
rnacentral:rRNA from 1 species